GAUGAACGCUGGCGGCGUGCUUAACACAUGCAAGUCGAACGGAAAGGCUCCUGCUUGCAGGGGUACUCGAGUGGCGAACGGGUGAGUAACACGUGGGUGAUCUGCCCUGCACUUCGGGAUAAGCCUGGGAAACUGGGUCUAAUACCGGAUAGGACUAUGGUUUGGAUGCCAUUGUGGAAAGUUUUUCGGUGUGGGAUGAGCUCGCGGCCUAUCAGCUUGUUGGUGGGGUAAUGGCCUACCAAGGCGUCGACGGGUAGCCGGCCUGAGAGGGUGUACGGCCACAUUGGGACUGAGAUACGGACCAGACUCCUACGGGAGGCAGCAGUGGGGAAUAUUGCACAAUGGGCGCAAGCCUGAUGCAGCGACGCCGCGUGGGGGAUGACGGCCUUCGGGUUGUAAACUCCUUUCGCUAGGGACGAAGCGCAAGUGACGGUACCUGGAGAAGAAGCACCGGCUAACUACGUG
rnacentral:rRNA from 1 species